UAGAGAAUAAUAAAAUGGAAUUAUAGAGUGUUUUGAUCUCUCAGUUGUAGGUUCAAUUCCUAUUUUUUUAA
rnacentral:tRNA from 1 species